rnacentral:rRNA from 1 species
UGGGGGAUAUUGCACAAUGGGGGGAACCCUGAUGCAGCGACGCCGCGUGAGCGAUGAAGUAUUUCGGUAUGUAAAGCUCUAUCAGCAGGGAAGAAAAUGACGGUACCUGACUAAGAAGCCCCGGCUAACUACGUGCCAGCAGCCGCGGUAAUACGUAGGGGGCAAGCGUUAUCCGGAUUUACUGGGUGUAAAGGGAGCGUAGACGGCUGUGCAAGUCUGAAGUGAAAGGCAAGGGCUCAACCUUUGGACUGCUUUGGAAACUGUGCAGCUAGAGUGUCGGAGAGGCAAGUGGAAUUCCUAGUGUAGCGGUGAAAUGCGUAGAUAUUAGGAGGAACACCAGUGGCGAAGGCGGCUUGCUGGACGAUGACUGACGUUGAGGCUCGAAAGCGUGGGGAGCAAACAGG